GCUUGGGAAUAUGCCUUUAGGUGGGGGACAACAGUUGGAAACGACUGCUAAUACCGCAUAAUGUCUACGGACCAAAGGAGGGGCUUCUUCGGAACCUUUCGCCUUUAGAUUAGCCCAAGUGAGAUUAGCUAGAUGGUAAGGUAAUGGCUUACCAUGGCGACGAUCUCUAGCUGGUUUGAGAGGAUGAUCAGCCACACUGGGACUGAGACACGGCCCAGACUCCUACGGGAGGCAGCAGUGGGGAAUAUUGCACAAUGGGGGAAACCCUGAUGCAGCCAUGCCGCGUGUGUGAAGAAGGCC
rnacentral:rRNA from 1 species